CUUAUUGACUGAAAAAUUUACAAAGACUGAAUUGUUUUUAUGUAGUCUUAGUAUGGAAGAAAAGAUUGUCAGUGAGUAUUCACAAUUUGGUUACUGAGACCCUCGAAUUCCCAUAUGAAUUGUAGCAGCAGCUAGUCAGUUUCUGCAGUGGAGCCAGCUGGGAUUGUGAUCGAAACCACGUUGUAUGUAUGGAUCGCUCUGGGGAGCACUGCCAUUCCAAGAGCGCUGUCUUCUGAUCCAGGAAUGUGCGUGGUGUGUCUGUCCAGCUUGCAGGUGCCCUCACCUCCAGUGGCAUCCAUCCAGACACCAGCACUGACACUGGCCGUGCUCAGAACUGCCUCAGCCCUGAAGACACAACUGACAAAUAGAAGGGGGCCAUGCCCUGUUACAGCAGGUGCUCUCACUUUGUGGGUCUUUCUGUAACUGCGCGUUGUUAUUCAGGAUCGCCUGUUCUUCAUUUUGUGAUGCUGCUGCGGUGCCUCCUAGUUAUUUGUUUCUGAUCUGAGAAGCAGGAGCAAGGAACGCAGGGAGAGAUCCAGGAAGACAUCUGACUGUGUUAAGAGACGACAGUCACAGCGACACGGGGAGUGAAGACACUUGCAGCAAAUGUAAGAAUGCUGGUGACUCAGAAGCAUGCUUCAAAGCUGUCCGUGUCCUUGACAUCCAGAAGCGGAGCCUGGAAGCUUCCGAAUUUCUCCAGAAUGUGGUUUACAUUCACCUUGACAGGUGAGUGUAUGUCCUUUUACAAGUGGAGGAAUUACUGCAGUUUUCCUGGAAAUUAUUCACCACUAGUCCAUCUGAUUUUUCUGUGCUAGGAUUCAGUAUGGUAUACUAAAAAUUCUGGAGUCAGAUCUUAAUACCCUG